rnacentral:misc_RNA from 1 species
GGAGACUUGUCAUCAUGAGGAAUGGACUCAAUAUUGAUUAAACCAGACUCUUUUGGCAUGUUUUUGCUAAUAGAGUAAAUUGUGACUACAGUCACUUUAUUAACUCCUUUUGAUGCCAAUCUUUUGGAAAAUUGAACCAUUGGGUUUAUGUGACCUUGUACUGGAAAUGGAAGAACUAAAACAUGAGAUUUGUUGGUUUUUUCUUCCAUUUUGUGCACUAAAUUUACUCUUUUUAACUUGUAAGUUUAUC